UCUCUAUCGUUAUUAAAUGCAAAUUAUGAUAAAACGUUUGAAAGCGGACUCAAUAACUAGAUUCAGCGAUAAAUCCAACUAAUUAAGAAAUCAAACGAUACAUCAUCGUUAGAGCGUGUGCAAAGUCGCGAAGGAACUUAAUGUGAAAAUAACUGAAUUAUCUAUGGAGAAAUUCUUUAUACCGCGCCUCUGCUCACCAGGAUCCCUGAGCAUAAUUUAUUUCCUGCAAAAGAGCAAAGUAUGCCGUCGAAGCCAAGAGCGUUUGUACACAUUAACGCGGUAUAGCUCAUGAAAAAUCGCUUAGGAGGAAGCAAGCGAACUGAGUUUGCGGGGCGCAAUAUAAUGUAGAAGCCAUUUAUCCCUUUUUUGUGUUAAAAUGCCAAAGCCAGGCAUAUAUUUGCCUAUUACGUUUAAGAAAAUAAAUUAGAUUCGUAUGUUUUGUAUACAUAUAGUACCUAUAAGACGUUUUUUGUAUUAGGUAGAUUAAUUAGCUUAAGAUUGAGUGAGUCUUUGUGUAAAUAAUUGUAGCGUCGCUCGGUAUUAGAUUAAUUUUCACAAUCCUUUUAUUGUUAUUGAUUGGUGGCGCAAUGACGACCAUAAUUAGUAAAUUAUUUUAAUAUGG